UCAUUGGUGGUUCAGUGGUAGAAUUCUCACUUUCCAUGUGGGAGACAUGGGUUUGAUUCCCAGCCAAUGCA
rnacentral:tRNA from 1 species